GAUGAACGCUGGCGGCGUGCCUAAUACAUGCAAGUCGAGCGAACAGACGAGGAGCUUGCUCCUCUGACGUUAGCGGCGGACGGGUGAGUAACACGUGGAUAACCUACCUAUAAGACUGGGAUAACUUCGGGAAACCGGAGCUAAUACCGGAUAAUAUAUUGAACCGCAUGGUUCAAUAGUGAAAGACGGUUUUGCUGUCACUUAUAGAUGGAUCCGCGCCGCAUUAGCUAGUUGGUAAGGUAACGGCUUACCAAGGCGACGAUGCGUAGCCGACCUGAGAGGGUGAUCGGCCACACUGGAACUGAGACACGGUCCAGACUCCUACGGGAGGCAGCAGUAGGGAAUCUUCUGCAAUGGGCGAAAGCCUGACGGAGCAACGCCGCGUGAGUGAUGAAGGUCUUCGGAUCGUAAAACUCUGUUAUUAGGGAAGAACAAAUGUGUAAGUAACUAUGCACGUCUUGACGGUACCUAAUCAGAAAGCCACGGCUAACUACGUG
rnacentral:rRNA from 1 species